GUGGAGCCUGCGGCUUAAUUUGACUCAACACGGGAAAUCUCACCAGGCCCGGACACCAGCAGGAUUGACAGAUUAAGAGCUCUUUCUCGAUUUGGUGGGUGGUGGUGCAUGGCCGUUCUUAGUUGGUGGAGUGAUUUGUCUGGUUAAUUCCGGUAACGAACGAGACUCUGGCCUACUAAAUAGUGGACGGGCGUUUCAGUGCAUGGGCCCCGUCGGACACAGUCUUCUUAGAGGGAUGAGCAGCGAGUAUAGCUGCAGGAGAUUGAGCAAUAACAGGUCUGUGAUGCCCUUAGAUGUGCUGGGCCGCACGCGCGCUACACUGAAUGGGUUAGCGGGUUGUCCUUCUCCGAGAGGAGCGGGAAAUCGCUUGAAAACCAUUCGUGAUAGGGAUUGGGGCUUGCAAUUGUUUCCCAUGAACGAGGAAUUCCCAGUAAGCGCAAGUCAUCAGCUUGCGUUGAUUAAGUCCCUGCCCUUUGUACACACCGCCCGUCGCUACUACCGAUUGAAUGAUUUAGUGAGGCCUUCGGACUGGCGGUCUUGGACUGGGGCGCCGGAUGUCUCCCAGCAAUGGGGUGCCGGCGGCUCGCCUCGACGGGCCGGAAAGAUGUCCAAACUUGAUCAUUUAGAGGAAGUAAAAGUCGUAACAAGGUUUCC
rnacentral:rRNA from 1 species